rnacentral:rRNA from 1 species
AACGAACGCUGGCGGCAGGCUUAACACAUGCAAGUCGAGCGCCCCGCAAGGGGAGCGGCAGACGGGUGAGUAACGCGUGGGAAUCUACCCAUCUCUACGGAAUAACGCAUGGAAACGUGUGCUAAUACCGUAUACGUCCUUCGGAAGAAAGAUUUAUCGGAGAUGGAUGAGCCCGCGUUGGAUUAGCUAGUUGGUGGGAUAAAGGCAUACCAAGGCGACGAUCCAUAGCUGGUCUGAGAGGAUGAUCAGCCACACUGGGACUGAGACACGGCCCAGACUCCUACGGGAGGCAGCAGUGGGGAAUAUUGGACAAUGGGCGCAAGCCUGAUCCAGCCAUGCCGCGUGAGUGAUGAAGGCCCUAGGGUUGUAAAGCUCUUUCACCGGUGAAGAUAAUGACGGUAACCGGAGAAGAAGCCCCGGCUAACUUCGUGCCAGCCGCCGCCGUAAGAC